GUCAGCAGGCAGAUCCAUUUUCUGCCACCGAAUACAUUAGCAUGGGAUAAUGGAAUAGGACCCUGUCCUCCUAUUUUCAGUUGGUUUUGGCACGCGAGGACCAGGGUAAUGAUUAAUAGGGAUAGUUGGGGGCAUUAAUAUUUAAUUGUCAGAGGUGAAAUUCUUGGAUUUAUGAAAGAUUAACUUCUGCGAAAGCAUCUGCCAAGGAUGUUUUCAUUAAUCAAGAACGAAAGUUAGGGGAUCGAAGACGAUCAGAUACCGUCGUAGUCUUAACCAUAAACGAUGCCGACCAGCGAUUAGGAGACGUUGAAUACAAAACACCACCAUCGGUGCGGUCGUCCUUGGCGCGUCGUGGCUUGCUGCGGCGUGCGAGGGCGAUUAGCC
rnacentral:rRNA from 1 species